AAGGUUUUACAGUUAAAAAUCCACCAUGAAAAGGUUUUAUACAAAAGUUCCACAGAAGCAUGUUGCAUAGCAUUGGGUUUGGAGAUAUUUCCAAAGUCCUUAACUACUGUUAACCUACUUCUCAUCAAAGCACAGCAUUGUUUUUAUCGACCCAGUUCCUAGAAUUCCACAGCCCCCAUUGUCUAACAGAUAUCAACAUACAAGGCCCAGUUUUGCAUUUCCUAUUCCUUUCUCUCCAGAUCUAGGUGCUCUGCCAUUAUUGCACAUUUGUACGAGAUGGCAACAACAACAGUGACCAACUUUCCAACUGCGAUGUCAAGACCCAAUUAUUCCAUCAUCACAAAGGUUUGCAAAUGUAAGCCCUUGCCAAUCUUGGAGGCAGGUUAAGGUUGAUGAAUCAUGUCAUAAACUGGCAAGUGUUUGUCAUGUUGCAUCAUCACAACCUUUCUUGAAAAUGACAGCAGCCGCUGUAACAUA